AUGAUCAUCUACCGGGACCUCAUCAGCCAUGAUGAGCUGUUCUCCGACAUCUACAAAAUCCGGGAGAUCGCAGGCGGACUGUGCUUGGAGGUGGAGGGGAAGAUGGUCAGUAGGACGGAGGGUAACAUUGAUGACUCGCUCAUUGGUGGAAACGCCUCUGCUGAAGGCACCGAUUGUGAAGGAACCGAAACCACAGUAAUCACUGGUGUUGACAUCGUCAUGAACCAUCACUUGCAGGAAACCAGCUUCACAAAAGAAGCUUACAAGAAGUACAUCAAGGAUUACAUGAAAUCACUCAAAGGCAAACUUGAAGAACAAAAACCAGAAAGAGUAAAACCUUUUAUGACGGGGGCUGCAGAACAGAUCAAGCACAUCCUUGCUAAUUUCAAAAACUACCAGUUCUUUAUUGGUGAAAACAUGAAUCCAGAUGGCAUGGUUGCUCUGCUGGACUACCGUGAGGAUGGUGUGACUCCAUUCAUGAUUUUCUUUAAGGAUGGUUUAGAAAUGGAGAAAUGUGAUGCAAAAGAAAAAUUCCCUGCGCUUUCUGUCUGUCGUCGUGACAGUCCGGAUUGAAUGAGGGAGUACAUCUGCAACCUGGGGCAGCUGAGUGCUUUCCACAUUGGGAGAGUGUUAAUGUUUUUUCUUUUUCUUACAGUAACAAAUUUGGCACUUCUUUGGAUCCAUCACCUGUCAUCUGA